rnacentral:rRNA from 1 species
UACGAAGGACCCAAGCGUUAUCCGGAUUUAUUGGGGUUAAAGGGUGCGUAGGCGGGUUAUUAAGUCAGUGGUGAAAGCCUGCAGCUUAACUGCAGAAUUGCCAUUGAUACUGAUGAUCUUGAGUAUGAUUGAGGUGGGCGGAAUGUGUCAUGUAGCGGUGAAAUGCUUAGAUAUGACACAGAACACCGAUUGCGAAGGCAGCUCACUAAGCCAUAACUGACGCUGAUGCACGAAAGCGUGGGGAGCAAACAGG